GAUGAACGCUGGCGGCGUGCCUAAUACAUGCAAGUCGAGCGAACAGAUAAGGAGCUUGCUCCUUUGACGUUAGCGGCGGACGGGUGAGUAACACGUGGGUAACCUACCUAUAAGACUGGAAUAACUCCGGGAAACCGGGGCUAAUGCAGGAUAACAUGUUGAACCGAAUGGUUCUACAGUGAAAGGCGGCUUUGCUGUAACUUAUAGAUGGACCCGCGCCGUAUUAGCUAGUUGGUGAGGUAACGGCUCACCAAGGCAACGAUACGUAGCCGACCUGAGAGGGUGAUCGGCCACACUGGAACUGAGACACGGUCCAGACUCCUACGGGAGGCAGCAGUAGGGAAUCUUCCGCAAUGGGCGAAAGCCUGACGGAGCAACGCCGCGUGAGUGAUGAAGGUCUUCGGAUCGUAAAACUCUGUUAUUAGGGAAGAACAAAUGCGUAAGUAACUGUGCGCGUCUUGACGGUACCUAAUCAGAAAGCCACGGCUAACUACGUG
rnacentral:rRNA from 1 species